rnacentral:rRNA from 1 species
AUUGAACGCUGGCGGCAUGCCUUACACAUGCAAGUCGAACGGCAGCAUGGAGAGCUUGCUCUCUGAUGGCGAGUGGCGAACGGGUGAGUAAUGCAUCGGAACGUACCGUGUAAUGGGGGAUAACGUAGCGAAAGUUACGCUAAUACCGCAUACGACCUGAGGGUGAAAGCAGGGGAUCGCAAGACCUUGCGUUAUACGAGCGGCCGAUGUCAGAUUAGCUAGUUGGUGAGGUAAAGGCUCACCAAGGCGACGAUCUGUAGCGGGUCUGAGAGGAUAGUCCGCCACACUGGGACUGAGACACGGCCAAGACUCCGACGGGAGGCAGCAGUGGGGAAUUUUGGACAAUGGGUGCAACCCUGAUCCAGCCAUGCCGCGUGAGUGAAGAAGGCCUUCGGGUUGUAAAGCUCUUUCGGCCGGGAAGAAAUCGCACAGGCUAAUACUCUGUGUGGAUGACGGUACCGGCAUAAGAAGCACCGGCUAACUACGUGCCAGCCGCCGCAGUAA